rnacentral:rRNA from 1 species
AACGAACGCUGGCGGCAGGCCUAACACAUGCAAGUCGAGCGCGCCCUUCGGGGUGAGCGGCGGACGGGUGAGUAACGCGUGGGAACGUGCCCUUUUCUACGGAAUAGCCUCGGGAAACUGAGAGUAAUACCGUAUACGCCCUUUGGGGGAAAGAUUUAUCGGAAAAGGAUCGGCCCGCGUUGGAUUAGGUAGUUGGUGGGGUAAUGGCCUACCAAGCCGACGAUCCAUAGCUGGUUUGAGAGGAUGAUCAGCCACACUGGGACUGAGACACGGCCCAGACUCCUACGGGAGGCAGCAGUGGGGAAUCUUAGACAAUGGGGGCAACCCUGAUCUAGCCAUGCGGCGUGAGUGAUGAAGGCCUUAGGGUUGUAAAGCUCUUUCAGCUGGGAAGAUAAUGACGGUACCAGCAGAAGAAGCCCCGGCUAACUCCGUG